GUGGGAUCUGAACUCAGUUCCUCAUGCUUGUUCAGCAAACCUUUCAGCCACUGAGCCAUCGUCCCAGCCCUGUGGCUUUAUUUUCCUUAUCUAUUUAACAGAUAAGGAGAGAGAGAGAGAGAGAGAGAGAGAGAGAGAGAGAGAGAGAGAGAGAGAGAGAGAGACUGCUGUAUUUUUUAACUCUCCGUUCUUCUCAGUCAUGGUAUAUGUGGUGCUCUCCCAGCCGUCACUCAUGAACCGAAAAGCAAGUUGAAGGCUGACGAUGUCAGAAAAUGAUAAAUAAUUGAGUCAUGAUGACACCGGGUUUCUGGGCUCUUAAUGGCUGCUAUUGUUGCAGGAGGGGCUCAUUACUUCCUAGGUGUGGCUUCCCCACCAGAGCCAGAUCAGUUCAUCGGAGAAGUAAUGGGCACAUGGGACCUAAUUGGUGCCGUGUGAUGAGCGAGGCAACCCACUCUCUCCAUUUAAAAGAAAACGACUCGCUUUUGCUUGGCAACCACACCUUCUAAUUACUUGCAAAUGCUUAAGACUCAUUAUCUUCAAAGUUUGGAGAAAGACAGAAAAAAGAAGAGGGAUAAAAAUUAAAAAAAAAAAAAAUCACGUAGAGUGGAAAACUCCAAGAAGCGAAUUCCCCUGGUCGAUCAGCCAGCCUUGUGGUGAACUCCACAGCAAGGAUAAGUUGAACUACCGUUGGGCAAUCAAGGCGGCCAGUGGGCAGGAGCAGUGUUUCCGGACCUUUUAAGCACCCACUAAGUGGAUCUGAGAUGAGGAAAGCCAGAACUGUGGUCUGCAGUGAAUCCACAGAUACAAGCUUCACAGACCCUCAGGGAGAGGUGUACCUCGAGUUUCAGCUGUACCCAUCUUCAGUCACAUUUGGAUGACACUUGGGAUGCCAAUUUCUCAGUUGAUGCUGAAGCAAGUUUAAGAAACAGACAACACCAUCAUAGUCUAUAAACAAGAAAGAUUGUCUCACCCUCAAGGCCAGGCUAGCUUCAGACUCAGAGUAAUCCUCCUGUUUCAUUCUCUGAGAUGCUGGGAUUAUGAGAGUGAUUCAUCCCAUAUGGGCAGAAUACUCUCUGUGAAAGAAUCCUCCAUCCCUUUGCUGUGGUUCUGAAGUACAUAAAUGCUUGUGUGUGAGCAGUCAUGAGUAGCUGAUCACUUUUGAUUGGAGUCAUUACCCUUUAGUGAGCAUUUCUAAGUCAUGAAGCAAAAUGGAAGAUGAAAUAGUUAUAAAAAAGCCCUACAUAUGAGAAGAAAUGAAUGCACUUGAAUAAUAAACUAUUUCAUGAUGUUAAUGAGUA